rnacentral:rRNA from 1 species
GAUGAACGCUGGCGGCGUGCUUAACACAUGCAAGUCGAACGAUGAAGCCCAGCUUGCCGGGUGGAUUAGUGGCGAACGGGUGAGUAACACGUGAGUAACCUGCCCUUAACUCUGGGAUAAGCCUGGGAAACUGGGUCUAAUACCGGAUAGGAGCGUCCACCGCAUGGUGGGUGUUGGAAAGAUUUAUCGGUUUUGGAUGGACUCGCGGCCUAUCAGCUUGUUGGUGAGGUAAUGGCUCACCAAGGCGACGACGGGUAGCCGGCCUGAGAGGGUGACCGGCCACACUGGGACUGAGACACGGCCCAGACUCCUACGGGAGGCAGCAGUGGGGGAUAUUGCACAAUGGGCGCAAGCCUGAUGCAGCGACGCCGCGUGAGGGAUGACGGCCUUCGGGUUGUAAACCUCUUUCAGUAGGGAAGAAGCGAAAGUGACGGUACCUGCAGAAGAAGCACCGGCUAACUACGUG